AUAAAGGAAAGGAAAAGAUUUAGCAAGGAAGGCGACAAGGUGGUGGUGAUGAAGGUAGCAGUAGAUGAUUGAGAAGUUGCUUGGAGAGUCCCGACUGCCAGUCCCACGUCACACUCAAGGACAACCCUUUUCGGUUUUACUUCUGUUUAGUGGUAUAAUGACUUUGCGUACUUAUUUUCCAAUAAGUUGAUGUGGAUUUUGGAGUCGGGUCUGGUCGUUACAAAUAUUUUAGUUAGUGACUUUGUUGGUUUUACAUGUGUAUUAUUUUAUGGUUUUCUGCUGCGUUUACUUUCAA